rnacentral:rRNA from 1 species
UACAGAGGGUGCGAGCGUUAAUCGGAAUUACUGGGCGUAAAGCGCACGUAGGCGGCUUGGUAUGUCGGGUGUGAAAUCCCCGGGCUCAACCUGGGAACUGCAUUUGUGACUGCAAGGCUAGAGUACGGUAGAGGGGGAUGGAAUUCCGCGUGUAGCAGUGAAAUGCGUAGAUAUGCGGAGGAACACCGAUGGCGAAGGCAAUCCCCUGGACCUGUACUGACGCUCAUGCACGAAAGCGUGGGGAGCAAACAGG